CUUCCUCCGGUUCCCCACCGCCUCCCGUCUCCUCCCUCUUUUUCGCAGGCGGCCGGGGAGAUAGAGCGCCCUCCGAUCCGCCGGCCGGAGUGGUGCUCCCUUCUCGGGACAGCGGCGGGGGAGGCCGGUCCCCUUUCUCCCUUUCUCCGAAGUGACGCCGGAGAAGAAGGGAAAAGCCGAGGGGGGGGGGAGAUCGACGCCGGAUCUCCUCCGGGUCUUCACCGGCUCCGACCACGGCGAGGUAAGGCCGUGGUCCGAGGUAAGUUCCGUUCACCCUCUUCUCCUUUUUUUUUGUGUGUGUGGGAGCCGCGCCGCCACCUCUUCGCCGGCGGAGAGGGGGGCUCGGCUGAGGCUGGCGGCCUCGGGGCCGCGCCUGUCGCCGGUACGGCUAGACCCGGCGACCCCUUGGCUGCCCUUCUGUCCGAGGGCGGUCCCGGCCGGGGCCGGUCAUCCGCAGGCCGAGUCCGGUUGGGCUCGGCCCGGGUGGCGUUGGGCUCGGGUUCGGACCGUUCUCAGGCCGGCUCGCGGCCUGUAGGUCUGGCCCGCAGCCCCUGGGUCCGGCCCACAGUCCCCCUCCUGUCUCUCUCCCGUGCCGGUCUCCUCCUCUCUGUGCCGGUCUCCUCCCCUCUGUUUCAUCAAUGAAACAGAGGGGAAAAUACCCACAGAGGGGUACCUCCACCCUGUCCCUUGCCUAGAGACCUACUUACAGGGCCCUUACCUUGAUUCAGUAGACUGGGGUUGGGCAGUGCCUCCUUCUCGGCAAAGUCCCUCCUUCUUCUCCUAGGGUUGUGGGGUACCUUCUGCUUCCAGCUCCAGGGCCAAGCUCUCUGGCACAGUAAUUCCAGGGGGUUAGAGGUUUAGGA
rnacentral:lncRNA from 1 species